UUUUGGCUAAUGGCGGCUUCCCUUGCAUUUGAGCUUGGUUGGUGGUUGUUAGCUGGGUGGUUUCGGGGAUGUCUACCGUAAAGGUGCAUGAGUGGUGUUUGGUUUGUUACGGGUGGUUGGCUCUUUGCUUGCGCAACAACUUCCACCUGGCAUACCUCUUCAGUUAUGUGUCAAUGCUUGUAUCGCAUUGAAUGCGCGGUGGGUUUACUGUGUUGCAUGCCUAAAUGAUGGUAUUGUUUGACGAAUCGAUUUCUAUUUUUGUCUUGUGUCGCACAUGCGAUGUGAGAUGAACCAUAAAGCAGACUUUGUGAUCCCCUCUUUUAAUGCAUAAGCAUUGAUUUUGUGGCUCAUUGAGUGCUGCUUGUUCUCAUGGAUAUGGAACCUUGUGUGGGCAUGGGAUCUUAUACUAGCUCCUUGUUUGCCCUGGUUAAGCUUUUCAAAUACGAUUUCCUAUCAAGUCCUGACGUGGUAGGCUACAUCGAAUAUGAAUG
rnacentral:misc_RNA from 1 species